UCCGUAGGUGGAUAAUUAAGUCAGAGGUGAAAUCCUGCAGCUCAACUGUAGAAUUGCCUUUGAUACUGGUUAUCUUGAGUCAUUAUGAAGUGGUUAGAAUGUGUAGUGUAGCGGUGAAAUGCAUAGAUAUUACACAAAAUACCGAUUGCGAAGGCAGAUCACUAAUAAUGUACUGACACUGAGGGACGAAAGCGUGGGGAGCGAACAGGAUUAGAUACCCUGGUAGUCC
rnacentral:rRNA from 1 species